GCAAUUUCAUAUUCUUUAAUAAAACAGACAAUUAUACAAAAUUAAAAAAUAAAUAAGGGAUGGUAUGGAAUUCUCUGAUUAUGAAUAAUCUCAUAACAUUGAUUUCAAUUAUCCUAAAAAAAGUUCUGUUAACAACAUGAUUCUCCUGAAUUCGCCACUUACUCACAACAAAAAAUAAUAUAUGUUUCUUUCUAAACAAAGCACUAAUUCUUGGAAAAUUGCAAAUUUCAAAUCUUUAAUACCUGUGUUCUUUAAUAAACCCUGAUCAAAAACAAACAUAUUCAUAUACUUCUUUUUUACUCUUUUUAAUACCACACCAAUCACUCAUACAUUCAUUCAUUUGUGUCAACUUAAGGAAACCUUUUAGGAAGAAAUAAUAUACAGAAUCUUUUCUAAAAGAGGAACGAAAGAUACCAAAGGGACAGUCAAACUCAUAAAUAAAACAAAUUGACAACGCCAUGGCUAAAAUGAAUCACUGUAUUCUUUAAAUUCAUUGUCAAAUAGUCUUACUAGCUACAAUCACAUGAACAAAGUCGUUAAUUAAUAACUAAACUAAAUGAUCCUGUAAGGGAGCUUAUUCAAUCUAAACAAUAAUACCAAAACAAUGAUGUGUCCAAUGUUACAGAAGUCAAAUGCCCCACUGUUUUUCUUUAUAUGUGUUUACAGUGAAAAAGAAUUGAACUAGUGAGGUUUUGUCUCCAAAAACAAAAGUUUGGUCUUUCAUGUAAAGAGAUUGGUCCUUCUGAGGACAUUUUGUUCUGCUUGUGAAAAGAUAGAUCUACUGAGAACAUUUUGUCCUGUUUAUUAUGAGACAGCCAGUAGAAGGACUGGUAUUUUGAAGAUUUCAAAUAAAACUAGAGGCUCUAAAGAGCCUGUGUCGCUCAUCUUGUCUAUGUGAAUAUUAAACAAUGGAACAGAUGGAUUCAUGACAAAAUUGUGUUUUGGUGAUGGUGAUGUGUUUGUAGAUCUUACUUUACUAAA
rnacentral:lncRNA from 1 species